rnacentral:rRNA from 1 species
AGCGGCGAACGGGUGAGUAACGCUUCGGAAUCUACCCAAUGGUGGGGAAUAACCAGCCGAAAGGUUGGCUAAUUCCGCAUGAGCCCUACGGGAGAAAGCGGGGGAUCGCAAGACCUCGCGCCGAUGGAUGAGCCGAAGCCGGAUUAGCUAGUUGGUAGGGUAACGGCCUACCAAGGCGACGAUCCGUAGCUGGUCUGAGAGGACGACCAGCCACACUGGGACUGAGACACGGCCCAGACUCCUACGGGAGGCAGCAGUGGGGAAUAUUGGACAAUGGGGGAAACCCUGAUCCAGCGACGCCGCGUGUGUGAAGAAGGCCUGCGGGUUGUAAAGCACUUUUAGUGGGGAUGAAAAGCUCAGGGCUAACACCUCUGGGUCUUGACCUAACCCACAGAAAAAGCACCGGCUAACUCUGUGCCAGCAGCCGCGGUAAUACAGAGGGUGCGAGCGUUAAUCGGAAUUACUGGGCGUAAAGCGUACGUAGACGGUUGGAUAAGUCGGAUGUGAAAGCCCCGGGCUCAACCUGGGAUGGCAUUCGAGACUGUGCAGCUAGGGUGCGGAAGAGGGAAGCGGAAUUUCCGGUGUAGCGGUGAAAUGCGUAGAUAUCGGAAGGAACACCAGUGGCGAAAGCGGCUUCCUGGUCCAGCACCGACGUUCAGGUACGAAAGCAUGGGGAGCAAACAGGAUUAGAUACCCUGGUAGUCCAUGCCAUAAACGAUGAGGACUAGACGUUGAGGGGGUAGCCUCCCAGUGUCGUACCUAACGCGCUAAGUCCUCCGCCUGGGGAGUACGGCCGCAAGGUUUGAACUCAAAGG